rnacentral:rRNA from 1 species
CCUACGGGUGGCAGCAGUGGGGAAUAUUGGGCAAUGGGCGCAAGCCUGACCCAGCAACGCCGCGUGAAGGAAGAAGGCUUUCGGGUUGUACACUUCUUUUGUCAGGGACGAAGCAAGUGACGGUACCUGACUAAUAAACCACGGCUGACUUCGUGCCAGCCGCCGCGGUAGUACGUAGGGGGCAAGCGUUAUCCGGAUUUACUGGGUGUAAGGGGCGGGUAGGCGGGACUGCAAGUCAGAUGUGAAAACUACGGGCUCAACCUGUGGCCUGCAUUUGAAACUGUAGUUCUUGAGUACUGGAGAGGCAGACGGAAUUCCUAGUGUAGCGGUGAAAUGCGUAGAUAUUAGGAGGAACACCAGUGGCGAAGGCGGUCUGCUGGACAGCAACUGACGCUGAGGCGCGAAAGCGUGGGGAGCAAACAGGAUUAGAUACCCGAGUAGUC